CACGUUUAAAACACUGGUUUCCAUAUGAUCACCGAAGUUAAGCAACAACAGCCUGGUCAGUACCUAGGUGGGUGACCAAAUGGGAAUACCAGCUGCUGUAAG